CCUACGGGUGGCAGCAGUGAGGAAUAUUGGUCAAUGGGCUUACGCCUGAACCAGCCAAGUCGCGUGAGGGAAGACUGCCCUAUGGGUUGUAAACCUCUUUUGUGCGGGAGCAAUAAUGGUCACGUGUGGUCAGACGAGAGUACCGUACGAAUAAGCAUCGGCUAACUCCGUGCCAGCAGCCGCGGUAAUACGGGGGAUGCAAGCGUUAUCCGGAUUUAUUGGGUUUAAAGGGUGCGUAGGCGGUGAGGUAAGUCAGCGGUGAAAUGCCCCCGCUCAACGGGGUGAAGUGCCAUUGAUACUGCCUUGCUGGAAUGCGGAUGCCGUGGGAGGAAUGUGUGGUGUAGCAGUGAAAUGCAUAGAUAUCACACAGAACACCGAUUGCGAAGGCAUCUCACGAAUCCGCGAUUGACGCUGAUGCACGAAAGCGUGGGUAUCAAACAGGAUUAGAUACCCUAGUAGUC
rnacentral:rRNA from 1 species